rnacentral:rRNA from 1 species
GUGAGGAAUAUUGGACAAUGGGCGAAAGCCUGAUCCAGCCAUGCCGCGUGUGUGAAGAAGGUCUUCGGAUUGUAAAGCACUUUAAGUUGGGAGGAAGGGCAGUAAGUUAAUACCUUGCUGUUUUGACGUUACCGACAGAAUAAGCACCGGCUAACUUCGUGCCAGCAGCCGCGGUAAUAUGAAGGGUGCAAGCGUUAAUCGGAAUUACUGGGCGUAAAGCGCGCGUAGGUGGUUUUGUAAGUUGGAGGUGAAAUCCCCGGGCUCAACCUGGGAACUGCCACCAAAACUGCAUGACUAGAGUACGGUAGAGGGUAGUGGAAUUUCCUGUGUAGCGGUGAAAUGCGUAGAUAUAGGAAGGAACACCAGUGGCGAAGGCGACUACCUGGACUGAUACUGACACUGAGGUGCGAAAGCGUGGGGAGCAAACAGGAUUAGAUACCCCAGUAGUCC